rnacentral:rRNA from 1 species
CGCUGGCGGCGUGCCUAAUACAUGCAAGUCGAACGGUCUUUCUAUGGAAGCUUGCUUCCACUGAGAAGAUAGUGGCGAACGGGUGAGUAACACGUGGGUAACCUGCCCAUAAGAGGGGGAUAACAUCCGGAAACGGGUGCUAAUACCGCAUAGUUUUCUUGAUCGCAUGAUUGAGAAAGGAAAGACGGCCUUUGUGCUGUCGCUUAUGGAUGGACCCGCGGCGUAUUAGUUAGUUGGUGAGGUAACGGCUCACCAAGACGAUGAUACGUAGCCGACCUGAGAGGGUGAUCGGCCACAUUGGGACUGAGACACGGCCCAAACUCCUACGGGAGGCAGCAGUAGGGAAUCUUCCGCAAUGGACGAAAGUCUGACGGAGCAACGCCGCGUGAGUGAAGAAAGGUUUUCGGAUCGUAAAACUCUGUUGUCAGAGAAGAACAAGUUGGAGAGUAACUGCUCCAGCCUUGACGGUAUCUGACCAGAAAGCCACGGCUAACUACGUGCCAGCCGCUGC